GUCAUUAGGAUUUACUCUGCUCAUUAAUAUAGGUAUGUAUGAUGACCUGUAUUUUAUGUCCAUACUAUGUAAUUAUUAUGUGUAGUAUGUGUCAUUUGAAAAACUUUUAUGAUCCAUUGAUUUCAUAAUCUGUUACAACCUGUAUGUGACAAAUAAUGCUCUAGGCUGCAUAAGAAAUUAACCUUCUGCAGGCUUCUCUCUGGGUUAACAGGCUUAUAAGUGGUUUAUUAAACAAUGU
rnacentral:lncRNA from 1 species